GUAUAAUUUUAGGCAUUGUAACAGAAACUGGUCAAUUAAUUGUAGGAUCACAAAAAAGUAUAUCUGAAAUUUUAAAUAACGACGCUAACAAUUUACUAAUAAUCCAAAUAUCAAAGCAUUCAAGAGAGAAAGGAAGAACAACAUAAGGACUCAAGUUUAAAAAGUGUUAAAGAAACUGAAAUAACCUGACAACAGCAUCUAGAGUUAGAAUGAAAGUAAGUUAGAAUAGUUCACUUACUUUUACUAGGGCGGAAAAAAAUCUAAUGGUAUUGUUUUAAGAACAUCUUUUUUGAAGCCAAUAUUAAAAAGAUUCAACUGAUUGCAUCAAUCUGUAAAAGUGUCCUAAAUAUAUUCUUCAAUUAUCCAAACAUGGAAAAAGAGACAUCAAAAGGUAGAAGAUAUUUUUCCCAGUGAGACACCUGUGAUUGAUCGAUUUUCAAGAUAAAGUGAAGUAUACUUAGCAACUCCGUAACAGUCAUGAAUCUUAAAGUUGACGAGAGACUGACCAGAGAGGCAAGCGUUUGUUUGUAAACCUUUCAAACACGUCCGCCACAAGCAUUCUUUCGCUAUAACUAUCAGUGUUACGAAAACUGUUUUUCCUUCACGUUUAAAGGAAGGUGGCGGAACAAUAUUCACGUGCGACGAGUAGAUGAACAA